UCUAUUACUUCAUCAUCUAAAACCUAAAGAAAGAAAACUCAGCGGCGCCUCUCUUCUUUCUCUCUAUCUCCGACAAAAACAGUAAAACUCGUAGAAGCUUUCACGCACACAGACCAUGCAUGGUCGUUUUGGGGAAAGGAAAUUAAUGCUCGUCCUUUCCCCGUCAAGUCUCAACCGUUGUGAGUUGAUUUUUUUUUUUUUUUUUUCGCUUUUGAUCUGAAACCCAUUAUUGGGAUUUGGCCAUUUGCGAAGUUUGAAUGCUCGUUCGUGAUUGGCCAUUCAAUAUUGGGGGGAUUUUUCCCUCCAUUUCCACUCGCCUCUCACUAAAACGAAGAGAAAAUUUAGGGUAUAGAACCCCACUCCCAGUGUCGAGACAAGUUUUUAUCUGGGCGAACAUACUGAAAUUCUUGAUUAAAAGUUCUGAAAAAAACUUAAUCUUGUUUAAUUAAGAAGUCACUUUAAGUAGAAUCUCUAUCGAGUCUAGUUUCAUUUCUCAGUUUUAAAUUCUAUUCCUUUUCGUUGUGUUUGAGUGAAUUGAGGGUCUUGGAAGGAAUUUCAAUUCCAUUCUCGGUGAGGGUUGCACUCAAAAGAUCCGAGCGUCGAUCGCGUUCGAGCGUAGAUCCGAGAUUCAAAGCCCAUGUUCACUGCACUCGGAAAAGGUCAGUAACCUUUCUUUUUUUUUAUUUCUUUCUGCAUUCUCUUGUUCCUUUACUUGUUAUGUGUUAUGUGUUUAGCUUAAGCAUGUUGAUUUGCUUAGGUUUAGUAGGAUAAUCUGUUUAUGUGUCAGUUUUGGACUUGUUUAGCUCUUAUGUAAUUUGCUAGCCAUGCUCUUUUUAUCCUAGAUUGGUAGUUAAAACAUGUUGAUAUGUUAGUAAAUUAGUUAAAUAAUUCCAGUUAUGUAGUUAAAGCCUAUCCUAUGUGAUUUAUGUGGUUUUAUGCGUGGGAAUGACUCAGUUUAGCCUGAAACGUAUGAGCAAGAUCUGUUGAGCAUGGUUUAGGUGUUAGUUUAGCUUGUUUUAAUUGAAUAUGUCUUAAGUGUUGCGUUGUCUGGUCUAUGUGUUGUUCUGGUUAGAAUAGAUUAGUUAACUGCUGUGUAAUAAAAUCUAAGUGUUAUUGGUCUUGAAUCAGGUUGUUAUGUGUAUAUUAGCCUAUUUUUGCCUGCCACUUUCCCAAGCAUAUGAUAUAACCCUGUUUUUUCGUUUAAUCCAGUUCAUCAUGUCUAGUUAUAUUGUUUAGCUUAUCUGUUUGUUUGGUUUAGCCUACCAUGCUUAGUUACGAUGUCUAGUUCUUCUGUUUCUUUGCUUGAGUUUAUCAUGUCUAGUUGUAGCAUUCAAGUUCCUUGUUACUAUGUUGAGCAUAGUUCAUCUAGCUUAGUUAAAAUGUUCAGUUCCAUUGCUUCUUUGUUUAACUCAUCAUGAUUAGGCACGGUGUUUAAUCUCCCUGUUCCCUACUAUGUUUGUCAUGUGUGUCUAACUAGCUUGGCUGCUUUGCUUAAUCUAUCAUGUUGAGCCCAUGAAAGUUGAUCAUCCAUCCCUGUUUGGAUCAUCAUGUUGGAAUCCAGUUAAUUAAUCCCUUAUUUGGUUUAUUAUGGUUAAGUUUUAUUUGGUUCAGUUGCUAUGGUGUUUUAGCUUCUUGUCUAUUUGGCAGAAUGUUGUAUGCUUGUCUAGCCCUUGUGGCUGUCAUAAGUAGGUUUAUUUAUUAAGUGCUAAUGUACUAGUAUGAAACAGCUUUGAAGAUUUGAAAAUGAGCCUGUGUGAUCUUGUGAACUUGCCUAAUAAUUCUACAUGACUGAACAAGUGUGCAAUGUGACAUUAAAAGUUUAAUCUGGUUUAAAUAGAGAGAGACAACUUGAUAUUCUUAAAAUUGUUGAUGUGUAACUUGGCUGUCACAAUAGGUUUACUGGUUUAUUGAUAUAAUGUGGAGUUUAGAUAUCCUGAUAUAACUAAAAAGGGCAAAUGAGCUCAGAUGUUAGUUUAAGGUUGCAAACAUAGGCCAGGGAGUCAAUUUUAAAAAUGUACAUAAGUUGGUUGUUAUCAGAAUCUUGGUGAGUCUGUGUACCCAUGACAUGAGUUAAAACUGCACGUGUCUAUUGUAAUAUUUCUGCCCUUCUCCUGCUGAUAGUUUAUUGUCUUGUGAUCAUUGGAUCCUUAGUAAAUGAAUGUAUCUUUGUAUAAGUUGUCCAUGGGAAAAGAGUAACAUGCUUAAGAGUCUUAAGGUGAUUGUGCUUCAUGAGUCAUCUGUUUUGGAUCAUCUGUCUAUACUCUUCGCUUUACUUAAAUGGAUUUAAGGCCAUCUUGGGAACUUAAGGGUUGACAUGACUAUUGUAUUACCUGUCUGUUGUUGCAUGCUCAUAUGUGGAAUUACAUGAUUCAUUAGUUGUUCACAAUCUGCAGACCUUUGUUAUUGCUACUGCUAUGCAGAUUUUUGCCUUUGCACAUUUUGUAGUUAGUUUUUUUGCGAUGUUCAUUGACUGUUGUAUGGUCGAUUGGUUGGAAUAUUAUCAAUAUACCUAUAAUUGUUUUAAUUUUACCAAGGCAGUGAGGUUGUAUACCUGUGUAUUCUUGAAGUAUGUUCAUGAAAAUACAUUAAUAGGGAGAUUAGUUGGUCAUUAUGGAUUAAGCUUGAACCCCCCCCCCCCCCCCCCCCCCCCCCCGGUGUUAGCCAUGCCUGGGAUUCCUGGAAAUCCCUUGGAACUUGUGCAACAUCGGGAAGACGGGGGCAAAAGCUUUCCAAUAUUAACCCUCUAAGCAUCCUUAUGAAUGUGCAUACAUGAAGUGUACUCAAAUAUACAUAAUAUAUAUACAAGUCACUGAUCUGUUUGUUUGAACCUCUGAGAAUAGACAGAAUGUGGAUGUGAAAAAGCUAGUUUGCUUGGUAAAGUCAAAUCUGUUUAAGGAGUUCUUUGCCCAAAUAUUCAUUAGAUGUGUAUGGUGUAGCCCUCCUUCUGUUUCUGUUGGUGCUACGUCACGAUAAUUGUUUCCUAAAUGAAAUCAAAAUCGGUAUUGACGUACAAGUUACAACAAAAUAUAGUAAUUAAGUAUCUGACUGAUUUUGUAAGAUUUAUUACAACUUUCUGCCUACUAUCAAUUUGUGUAUUUGGAAGUUUAACAUCAUAUAUGUUUUGCCUUAUUUAAUGGUUACGUACGUUUCUAAUUCUUUAUCUUUGUUUUUCGCAUGUACACUUUGGGAGAAAAUUGGGGUCUUCGUAAAAGACUUUCGUUGCCACAAGAAGUCUCGUUUUGAGGCUCAAUUUCGCAUCCGUGUCUACUUUGCACUCAAUUCCCUCCUCGUGAAAAACUUUCCAACAAAACAAAGAGAGGGGCUAUUGUCGAUUUUAGCUUACCUCAGGAUUAACUAAUUCUUGUUUUUUCAUACAUGUUUAUUUGUUUGUCUUAAGAUUAUUGACCUUAGGACACUUAGAAUUAGACGGGGUAGUUGACUUAAGGGAGAAACUAGUAGUUAAUUCCGUUGGUUUCUUUCUCUUCUUCUUAUUUUAGAAUUGCUUAUAGUACCUAUAACAUUUACUUUUACUAGAAUAAUCGAUUUUCAAGGGUGUGAACAUAUAUUUUGAAUUAAGAGGAUCACGUUUUUGUUCUUUA